rnacentral:misc_RNA from 1 species
GGUUCUAUAAUUAUUUCAUUGGUUGUUUUUUGGGUAAAGUAGCCGCCUGGUUGUUCUCACUUUUUUGGGUUUACAACUUGUCCUGUCAAGUUCCUGUUUUGUAAGAUAUAGAACCUUUUUCUGGGAUUAGGUUUUAGGACUUUGUGAGAUGAAAUUACAUCCUGUUCGAGUUUGUGCCACAUUAGGACAAUCUCGAUGGAAUUUUCCCCCCUCCGUGUAUUAAAAUGUAGUAUUGCUCAAAAAAAGGUUCUAUAUCUUACAAAACAGGA